rnacentral:rRNA from 1 species
GACGAACGCUGGCGGCGUGCCUAAUACAUGCAAGUUGAGCGAUGAAGAUUGGUGCUUGCACCAAUUUGAAGAGCAGCGAACGGGUGAGUAACGCGUGGGGAAUCUGCCUUUGAGCGGGGGACAACAUUUGGAAACGAAUGCUAAUACCGCAUAACAACUUUAAACAUAAGUUUUAAGUUUGAAAGAUGCAAUUGCAUCACUCAAAGAUGAUCCCGCGUUGUAUUAGCUAGUUGGUGAGGUAAAGGCUCACCAAGGCGAUGAUACAUAGCCGACCUGAGAGGGUGAUCGGCCACAUUGGGACUGAGACACGGCCCAAAAUCCUACGGGAGGCAGCAGUAGGGAAUCUUCGGCAAUGGACGAAAGUCUGACCGAGCAACGCCGCGUGAGUGAAGAAGGGUUUCGGAUCGUAAAACUCUGUUGGUAGAGAAGAACGUUGGUGAGAGUGGAAAGCUCAUCAAGUGACGGUAACUACCCAGAAAGGGACGGCUAACUACGUG